GGAAUUGAAAGAAGAACACUUUCAUUUUUGAGCAGCAGUUGAAACACUUGCAUUGUUUCUACAUUCCUGUGGCAAAACAAAUUACUGGGAGUAUUUCUUCAAAUAAUUUGGAAAAGUCUUAAUAAACACAUAUACAGACUAUAUCUGCGCUACCUGAA